rnacentral:antisense_RNA from 1 species
CUUGAUGGAGCCGAGCCACAGCGGACGGUCCGCGGGCCGGUCCUGGCCGUAGGUGGCGAGGAGGGCGUGCGCCUC